rnacentral:rRNA from 1 species
GGUUGACCUCGGAUCAGGUAGGGAUACCCGCUGAACUUAAGCAUAUCAAUAAGCGGAGGAAAAGAAACCAACCGGGAUUGCCUCAGUAACGGCGAGUGAAGCGGCAACAGCUCAAAUUUGAAAUCUGGCUCCGUGCGGGGUCCGAGUUGUAAUUUGUAGAGGGUGUUUCGGGUGCGGUGCCGGUCUAAGUUCCUUGGAACAGGACGUCAUAGAGGGUGAGAAUCCCGUCUGCGAGUCGGCCACCAACCCCGGGUGAAACCCCUUCGACGAGUCGAGUUGUUUGGGAAUGCAGCUCAAAAUGGGUGGUAAAUUUCAUCUAAAGCUAAAUACCGGCCAGAGACCGAUAGCGCACAAGUAGAGUGAUCGAAAGAUGAAAAGCACUUUGGAAAGAGAGUUAAAAAGUACGUGAAAUUGUUGAAAGGGAAGCGCUUGCGACCAGACCUGUUCCCGGGCGAUCAUCCGCCAUUCGUGGCGGUGCACUCGCCCGGACGCAGGCCAGCAUCGGUUUAGGCGGCGGGACAAAGGGCCCGGGAAUGUAGCUCCCUCCGGGGAGCCUUAUAGCCCGGGUCGCCAUGCCGCCCGCCCGGACCGAGGACCGCGCUUCGGCUAGGAUGCUGGCGUAAUGGUCGUAAGCGACCCGUCUUGA